UUUUUUAGCAUGUUCAAGGAAUAAAAUCACAAAUCAACUAAAAUCAGUACUGAUUCCAGGCUUUUUUAGCCAAAAUCAGUAUUAAAAUCAUCCCAAAAUCAUCCCAAAAUCAGUAUUAAAAAUUAAAAGAUGUUUUUUUUAUAUUUUUAGAACCUUUUUCUGUCCAACAGAUCGCUGGAGAAUGGAGAUGGUUUGCAGCUCGCGUCUGGAGAUGGUGGCUCGCGUCUGGAGAUGGCUGCUGGUGGUGGCCGACGGGAAGAGGGGGAAGAGUGCUGGCCGACGGGAAGAGAGAAAAUCGUGGUUUUUUUUUUAAAUUUGGUUUUGGGUUUUUUUUUAAUUUUUUUUCAAUAAGGUAACGGGCAAG
rnacentral:lncRNA from 1 species